GUCUAUAGAUACAACGUAUGCAAUACCGGAUUAUCCAUAUUAUUGUUGUUAACAUAUUUUAUGCCAAAAGUACGUUCAAUAGAAAAUAUUACAUUGAUAAUAAUUAAUAUGAUCAAAACUGGUCGGUAACAUAGUUAACAUCGACGAAAAUUGACGUAUUUUUCGUGAUUAUCAUUAUCGCAUACCAUGCAAGACGGGCAUGACGAGGCCUAUGUAGGGAUAUGGGAUACCCGCAAAAGACUUGUGUGCAU